rnacentral:rRNA from 1 species
GACGUAGGGGGCCAGCGUUGUUCGGAAUUACUGGGUGUAAAGGGUUCGUAGGCGGUGCGGCAAGUCGGGAGUGAAAUCUCUGGGCUUGACCCAGAGGCUGCUUCCGAAACUGCUGUGCUUGAGUGUGGGAGAGGCGCGUGGAAUUGCGGGUGUAGCGGUGAAAUGCGUAGAUAUCUGCAGGAACACCCGUGGCGAAAGCGGCGCGCUGGACCACUACUGACGCUGAGGAACGAAAGCUAGGGGAGCAAACAGG